rnacentral:misc_RNA from 1 species
CCGAGUUUACAACUCCCAAACCCCUGUGAACAUACCUAUCGUUGCUUCGGCGGAUCGCCCCGGCGCCCUCGGGCCCGGAUCCAGGCGCCCGCCGGAGGACCCAAACUCUUGUAUUCUUGAGAAUUUCUGAGUAAACAAGCAAAUAAAUCA